rnacentral:rRNA from 1 species
CGAGAGGGUGCGAACGUUGUUCGGAAUUACUGGGCGUAAAGCGCGUGUAGGCGGCAACGCAAGUCGGGCGUGAAAUCCCACGGCUCAACCGUGGAAGUGCACUCGAAACUGCGUAGCUAGAGUCCUGGAGAGGAAGGUGGGAAUGCUUGGUGUAGAGGUGAAAUUCGUAGAUAUCAAGCGGAACACCGGUGGCGAAGGCGGCCUUCUGGACAGUGACUGACGCUGAGACGCGAAAGCGUGGGGAGCAAACAGGAUUAGAUACCCUGGUAGUCCACGCCGUAAACGAUGAGUGCUAGGUGUCACGGGCUUUGACCCUCGUGGUGCCGAAGCUAACGCGUUUAGCACUCCGCCUGGGGAGUACGGCCGCAAGGCUA